rnacentral:rRNA from 1 species
GAUGAACGCUGGCGGCGUGCCUAAUACAUGCAAGUAGAACGCUGAAGGAAUGAGCUUGCUCUUUCCGGAUGAGUUGCUAACGGGUGAGUAACGCGUAGGUAACCUGCCUGGUAGCGGUGGAUAACUAUUGGAAACGAUAGCUAAUACCGCAUAACAGUAGAUGUUGCAUGACACCUAUUUUAAAGGGGCAAUUGCUCCACUACCAGAUGGACCUCCGUUGUAUUAGCUAGUUGGUUAGGUAACGGCUCACCAAGGCGACGAUACAUAGCCGACCUGAGAGGGUGAUCGGCCACAAAGGGACUGAGAAACGGCCCAGAACACUAAGGGAGGCAGCAGGAGGGAAUCUUCGGCAAUGGACGGAAGUCCGACCGAGCAAAGACGCGUGAGUGAAGAAGGGUUUCGGAUCGUAAAGCUCUGUUGUAAGAGAAGAAAGAGUGUGAGAGUGGAAAGUUCACACUGUGACGGUAUCUUACCAGAAAGGGACGGCUAACUACGUG